GCAGAGCUAAAUUUUUUCCUAUUUUACUACAUCGCUACCUUUCUCCCGGUUUCGCACAAAGACAAAGACCUUCCCCUCUCCUAUGUCCAUACCUUCUCUCCCGGUUUCGCCCCCUUCGCAAUAUAGUCGCAAUUAGCGCUAACUGGGAAGCAAACGGCAGGAUCGCGGCUUACAGAGACCCGAAACUCCCAUCUUUCUUCUCCUUCCGCACUGCUCCUAAUCAUGGAGGCAGAUGAAGGAAGCUUUCAACUGCAGCCCAUGUGACCAACUAACACUCUUACAACUACCAACUACGGCGGCCACGCCAAGGCACAAUUCUCCCACUAAUGCAGUAUAUGGUCGAUAGAACUGCCUUCACAGGACACAAAUGAAGUUGAUCGGUGGAAGUUGAAGUUAAAAAAACCGAGAUCAUUAUCAAAUACGUUCUUAACGGAAUCAUUUGCGAGGAGAGAUGAAG